rnacentral:rRNA from 1 species
ACGAACGCUGGCGGCGUGCCUAACACAUGCAAGUCGAACGGAGAUACAGGGGCUUGCCCCUGUAUCUUAGUGGCGGACGGGCGAGUAACGCGUGAGGAACCUGCCCUUCAGUGGGGAAUAACGGCUGGAAACGGUCGCUAAUACCGCAUGACACAUUGGUACCGCAUGAUACUGAUGUCAAAGGAGCAAUCCGCUGAAGGAUGGCCUUGCGUCCGAUUAGCUAGUUGGUGGGGUAACGGCCUACCAAGGCGACGAUCGGUAGCCGAACUGAGAGGUUGAUCGGCCGCAUUGGGACUGAGACACGGCCCAGACUCCUACGGGAGGCAGCAGUGGGGGAUAUUGGUCAAUGGGGGAAACCCUGAACCAGCAACGCCGCGUGAGGGAAGACGGCCUUCGGGUUGUAAACCUAAGUGAUCAGGGACGAAGGAAGUGACGGUACCUGAAAAGCAAGCUCCGGCUAACUACGUGCCAGCAGCCGCGGUAAUACGUAGGGAGCGAGCGUUGUCCGGAUUUACUGGGUGUAAAGGGUGCGUAGGCGGGAAAGCAAGUCAGGUGUGAAAUACCGGGGCUCAACUCCGGGGCUGCGCUUGAAACUGUUUUUCUUGAGUGAAGUAGAGGCAGGCGGAAUUCCUAGUGUAGCGGUGGAAUGCGUAGAUAUUAGGAGGAACACCAGUGGCGAAGGCGGCCUGCUGGGCUUUAACUGACGCUGAGGCACGAAAGCAUGGGGAGCAAACAGGAUUAGAUACCCUGGUAGUCCACGCCGUAAACGAUGAGUGCUAGGUGUUAGGCCCUUUCCGGGGCUUAGUGCCGCAGCUAACGCAUUAAGCACUCCGCCUGGGGAGUACGACCGCAAGGUUGAAACUCAAAGGAAUUGACGGGGGCCCGCACAAGCAGUGGAGUAUGUGGAUUAAUUCGACGCAACGCGAAGAACCUUACCAGGUCUUGACAUCCGGCUAACGAAGCAGAGAUGCAUUAGGUGCCCUUCGGGGAAAGUCGAGACAGGUGGUGCAUGGUUGUCGUCAGCUCGUGUCGUGAGAUGUUGGGUUAAGUCCCGCAACGAGCGCAACCCUUGUUGUUAGUUGCUACGGAAGAGCACUCUAACGAGACUGCCGUUGACAAAACGGAGGAAGGUGGGGACGACGUCAAAUCAUCAUGCCCUUUAUGACCUGGGCUUCACACGUACUACAAUGGCCGUAAACAGAGGGAAGCAAGACCGCGAGGUGGAGCAAAUCCCUAAAAACGGUCCCAGUUCAGAUUGUAGGCUGCAACCCGCCUGCAUGAAGAUGGAAUUGCUAGUAAUCGCGGAUCAGCAUGCCGCGGUGAAUACGUUCCCGGGCCUUGUACACACCGCCCGUCACACCAUGGGAGCCGGUAAUACCCGAAGUCAGUAGCCUAACCGCAAGGGGGGCGCUGCCGAAGGUAGGAUUGGCGACUGGGGUG